ACGAUAUGCAUACGUACAGGCAACGAAGUCUUUAAUGUCAGUUCUGAUUGGAGGGCUGAUUGAACCUCCGUUCGGUUGCUGAUGGAGGGCUGAUUGACGCAUAAAUUGCUGGAGACUUUCAUUUGUGCCUGGAAAGCGGUCUAUCGCCUAAUCCCAGGCUAAUUUGUGGGAUACUUCGGGCAUUUUGUGGUGUCUUGGCGGACCAACAGCAGCCACGCCCACACACACGCCCACAGCUGCAGCAACAACAGCUGCAACCUCCGCGAGACUCCUGAAGCCCAUUGUGCCC
rnacentral:misc_RNA from 1 species